rnacentral:rRNA from 1 species
CUUGGUCAUUUAGAGGAAGUAAAAGUCGUAACAAGGUUUCCGUAGGUGAACCUGCGGAAGGAUCAUUACUGAAUUGUCAAACGGGUUGUUGCUGGCCCUCAUAGGGGGCAUGUGCACGCUCUGUUUACACAUCCACUCACACCUGUGCACCCUCUGUAGUUCUAUGGUCUGGGGGACCCUGUCUUCCUUCUGUGGUUCUACGUCUUUACACACACACUGUAAUAAAGUUUUAUGGAAUGUACAUCGCGUCUAACGCAAUACAAUACAACUUUCAGCAACGGAUCUCUUGGCUCUCGCAUCGAUGAAGAACGCAGCGAAAUGCGAUAAGUAAUGUGAAUUGCAGAAUUCAGUGAAUCAUCGAAUCUUUGAACGCACCUUGCGCCCCUUGGCUAUUCCGAGGGGCAUGCCUGUUUGAGUAUCAUGAACACCUCAACUCUCAUGGUUUGCCAUGAUGAGUUGGACUCUGGGGGUUUUGCUGGCCUGUGGUCGGCUCCUCUCAAAUUAAUCAGCCUCCCAGUGUUUGGUGGCAUCACGGGUGUGAUAAAUAUCUACGCUCGCUGUUGCCUGCCAGGUAACCUUUGGUCACAAAGGUUUGCUGGAGCUCACAGAUGUCUCUCCUCAGCGAGGACAGCUUUUUUAACGUUCGAUCUCAAAUCAGGUAGGACUACCCGCUGAACUUAAGCAUAUCAAUAAGCGGAGGA